GACGAACGCUGGCGGCGUGCUUAACACAUGCAAGUCGAACGGAAAGGCCUCUUUCGGGGGGUACUCGAGUGGCGAACGGGUGAGUAACACGUGAGUAACCUGCCCUUGACUUUGGGAUAACUUCAGUAAACUGGGGCUAAUACCGACUCGGAGCUCCUGCUGCAUGGUGGGGGUUGGAAAGUUUCGGCGUUUGGGGAUGGACUCGCGGCUUAUCCGCUUGUUGUUGGGGUAGUGGCUUACCAAGGCCUUGCCGGGUAGCCGGCCUGAGAGGGUGACAGGCGACAUUGGGACUGAGAUACGGCCCAGACUCCUACGGGAGGCAGCAGUGGGGAAUAUUGCACAAUGGGUGGAGGCCUGAUGCAGCAACGCCGUGUGCGGGAUGACGGCCUUCGGGUUGUAAACCGAUUUCGCUCAUGACGAAGCUUUGUGUGACGGUAGUGGGUAAAGAAGCACCGGCUAACUACGUG
rnacentral:rRNA from 1 species